rnacentral:sRNA from 1 species
CAGGUGCCCGCCACCAUGCCCAGCUAAUUCUUGUGUUUUUAGUAGAGACAGGGUUUCAUCAUAUUGGCCAGGCUGGUCUCGAACUCCUAACCUUGUGAUCCGCCUACCUCGGCCUCCCAAAGUACUAGGAUUACAGGCGUGAGCCACCGCACCCAGCCCCAUGACUGCCUUUUAAGAUGGGGUAGCUGCACUUUCACUAAGACAGAGGUUGGCCAACUCCAGCCCAUGGGUCAAAUAUGAACCACCUGCUGGGUUUUGUGGAUGUUGUGGUUUUGGGACGGAGUCUCGCUCUGUUGCCCAGGCUGGAGUGCAGUGGUGCAGUCUUGGCUCACUGCAACCUCCGCCUCCCAGGUUCAAGCGAUUCUCCUGCCGGCUACUGUACUCCGAGUAGCCGGGACUACAGGUGCCCACCACCAUGCCUGGCUAAUUUUUUGUAUUUUUAGUAGAGACGGGGUUUCACCAUGUUAGCCAGGAUGGUCUCGAUCUCCUGACCUGGUGAUCCGCCCGCCUCGGCCUCCCACAGUGCUGGGAUUACAGGCGUGAGCCACCGAGCCCGGCCCACCACCUGCCGUUUUUUAAACCCAUAAGCCAGGGAUGGGUUUUGUAAUUUUAAAUUGUUCAAAAAACCAAAAGAAUAAUAUUUUGUGACAUGAAAAAUUAUAUGAAAUUCAGAUGUUGAUGAAUAAAGUUUUAUUGGCACAGAGCGUGCACAUCUGCUCGCAUGCUGGCUUGUGGCAGGGCUGAGGGGCUGUGACAGCCCCAUAUGGCCCACAAAGCUGAAAGGAUUUGCUGUGAGGCCCUUUACAUAAUGCAUUUGCUGAUGCCAGCUCUAAAUAUCCAUAUUUGCAUUCAAAUUGGUUUCAGAAAUAAAUAUGCAUUGAAUGCAGCUGGGCCUGUGAACGUGGUGGUUGAAUUCAGCUGGGCCUGUGAACUUGGUCGUUGUGUUUAGAAUGUGUUGUCUUUCCCAGGUGUUGUGUGUUUGUGCUGCCGAAGCUGCUGAAGGCGGCCUGUAGAGGGCAGGGGCCCAGGCAGGCACAGUCACUUCACUGGUGUCUUGCUUGGUUGGUGCUUGGAGCACCUCAGGAGGGAAUAUGUCCUUAGGGAAGGAAGACAGGCCGGGCAGAGGGGCCUCGAAGUGUUGGCUUCUACCAGGCUCCUGCUGAGGUGGGCGCUCAGGGAGACGGCUGGAGGAUCUGAGGAGAGCCAAAGCCCCAGGCGGUGCCCUCCCCUUCUCCUUCUAGAGCAAAGUCCUGGCCCACUGUCUGUUUAAAAGCACUUUUUUCCAACAAUACACACUGUAAAAUUUGAAGAAGUUUUCAGUGAACACCGCCGCUGCCACUCACCUCCGGAGUUUGCCGUGGGCAUUUGCUGUGCUGGUGCCAUCACACCUGGCAUCACCCCGGCCUCCUGGGAUCACCCCAGCCUCCGUGCUUCCUGCCCUGUGCUCACCCGUCCUCCUGGUUGGGGUUUUUAUUGUAAAAUACACAGAACGUAAAAUUGACCAUGACAGCCACCUUAACGUGCACCGCUCGGGCACAGUACAUUCACAGCGUGGUGGCUCCCUCGGGCACUCAGUACAUUCACAGCGUGGUGCCUCCAUCCCUUUUACCUGCUUCCAAACAGUCCAUCCCAAGAAGAAACCGGUACUCAUCAGCAGGCCCUCCCCAGCACCCACCCCCAGCCCCGGCAGCCACUCAACCGCCUCCUGCCUCUGCGGGCCGGCCUGUUCCGGAGGCUUAAUGAGCAAAUCACAGCCUGUGUGGCCCUUGUGUCUGCUUCCUUCCCUCACGUGAAGCUUUCCAGGGCCGUGCACGGUGUGGGGUGCCCUUCCUUUCGAUGGCUGGGUAGUGUGCCGCGGUACGUGCGUGAGUUUCCCGAGACAUAAACACGUUACCACAGGCCGGGUGGCCUCAGACAGCGGAAAUGGAUUCUUGCCAGAUUCUGGAGGCCAGAAGUGCAAAAUCAAGGUGUCAGCCGGGCCCCUCCCCCUCAGGCUCUCCAGGAAGGUCCUUGCUGUCCCCUGGCUGGUGGCUGCGUCACUCCAGUCUCGGCCUCGGCCUUCACCCGGCAUCUCUACUGCACGUCUGCGUCUCUAAGGGCCCAGUCAUAGGAUUGAGGGCCCACCCUGGCCCAGCGUGACCUCAUCUUAGCUCACUACAUCUGCAGAGACCCCCCUUCCAAAUGUGGCCACACCCAGGUAGCACACGCGGGCCGCACUUUGUCGUCUGCCGAUGGGCGCUCAGGGUGCUCCUGCCUUUUGGCCACUGAGUCGUGCUGCCCUGGACGCUCGUAUGCAGGCCUGCGUGUGGACAUAAGUUUCAGUCUCUUGGGUGUACAGCUAGGAGUGGAGUUGCAGCGUGGAACUGCAGGGUCACACGAUAACUGGGCUUCUGGGGGACAGUUACCAGUUGACUCUGAAAUCUAGAUUUGUACAGACAUACGAGGGCCUGUGUAUUUAUGUUGAAAAUAGAUGCACGUGUUUAGAGGCCAGCUCCUGCGAGCAUGCAGAUGCUGGUGUCAGGCUGGGAGGAGGCAGACGGAUACAUUCCCCACAUGAAGACCAAGCAGAAGUGGAGGCGAAAGCCAGCGUGGGCUGACUGUGGAGCGGCCCCAUCGUGCAUGCACGCAGGCAUUGGUGGGGUUUGGGCUGACCGUGGAGCGGCCCCAUCGUGCACGCACGCAGGCGAUGCUGGGGUUUGGGCUGACCGUGGAGCGGCCCCGUCGUGCAUGCACGCAGGCGAUGCUGGGGUUUGGCCGAGCUCUGCCGCUGGCUGGGGCACAGGGUGGCACUGACUCCCACGGUCCCCGACACGCUCUUGGCACCAUGGGCAGCUCCCCAGGCCAGAAGCACCUGCAGAAGGCGCUCAUUCCUCCUCCCCAUGCUCUUCCCUGCAGAUGGGAUGGGGCGACCUCGGGGUGUAUGGAGAGCCCUCCAGAGAGACCCCGAAUUUGGACCGGAUGGCUGCAGAAGGGAUGCUUUUCCCAAACUUCUAUUCUGCCAACCCUCUGUGCUCGCCAUGUAAGUCAGCGGGGCCCUCGCCCCCAGGAAGGGGUGAGCCCAGCAGGCCGAGGCCUCCCGGGUCCUUCCAGCCCUGACUCUGGGCGGCUGCAUCAACCUUGUCUAUUCCUACUACUGCAGGGAGGGUGGCAGGUGGGCUCAGGCCUUUCUCAUCAAGUCCCAGCCCGGCUCCGUGCCAUGUGAGGUGUGGCACCUGCUGGAUUUUCAGGGUCGAAGUUGCGGUAUUGUUGGUGGCUGCUGUUCUCUGUUUCCCAGAGUCGAGUGCUGUGGCCGCCUGGGGAGAGGUGCUGCAGUGUGGCUCCGUCUCAGGGUACCUGGGAAGCAGGAGUCCCACUCCCUCCCUCCCUUGGGAGAGUCUCUCCUGCUGGAGGCAGAAACAUGUGGUGUUGAUCGUGAGGAAGAGGGGAAGGCAGGGCACGGGGCUGGUGCUCGAGGAUGGGGACGUGUGGAGCUGCACGCCCAGUGGGUGUCCCAGGAGCCUGCGAAAGGAGGCGGGGUCUUGGGGACAACGCUGAGCUGCAGGGCCCAAGGGCCACGCGUCUUUCAGUGCAGUGGGUGCCGUGCUCCACCCAGGUGGUGGAGACGCUAACGGGGAUUGACAGGCGUGGCAGCCCCUUGUAAACCUGCGCGUGCUUCGUCUGUCACGCGUCUGUCUACUCGGUGGGGCUCUUGUUGACGCCCGGGGUCUGAGCCACACCCUUCUCAUCCAGUUUCUGUUUCUGUCACCUCCACAUAGCGAGGGCGGCACUGCUCACAGGACGGCUACCCAUCCGCAAUGGCUUCUACACCACCAACGCCCACGCCAGAAACGCCUACACACCGCAGGAGAUCGUGGGCGGCAUCCCAGACUCGGAGCAGCUCCUGCCGGAGCUUCUGAAGAAGGCCGGCUACGUCAGCAAGAUCGUCGGCAAGUGGCAUCUGGGUCACAGGCCCCAGUUCCACCCCCUGAAGCACGGAUUUGAUGAGUGGUUUGGAUCCCCCAACUGCCACUUUGGACCUUAUGACAACAAGGCCAGGCCCAACAUCCCUGUGUACAGGGACUGGGAGAUGGUUGGCAGAUAUUAUGAAGAAUUUCCUAUUAAUCUGAAGACGGGGGAAGCCAACCUCACCCAGAUCUACCUGCAGGAAGCCCUGGACUUCAUUAAGAGACAGGCACGGCACCACCCCUUUUUCCUCUACUGGGCUGUCGACGCCACGCACGCACCCGUCUAUGCCUCCAAACCCUUCUUGGGCACCAGUCAGCGAGGGCGGUAUGGAGACGCCGUCCGGGAGAUUGAUGACAGCAUUGGGAAGAUGCUGGAGCUCCUCCAAGACCUGCACGUCGCGGACAACACCUUCGUCUUCUUCACGUCGGACAACGGCGCUGCCCUCAUUUCCGCCCCCGAACAAGGUGGCAGCAACGGCCCCUUUCUGUGUGGGAAGCAGACCACGUUUGAAGGAGGGAUGAGGGAGCCUGCCCUCGCAUGGUGGCCGGGGCACGUCGCUGCAGGCCAGGUGAGCCACCAGCUGGGCAGCAUCAUGGACCUCUUCACCACCAGCCUGGCCCUUGCGGGCCUGACGCCACCCAGCGACAGGGCCAUCGAUGGCCUCAACCUCCUCCCCACCCUCCUGCAGGGCCGGCUGAUGGACAGGCCUAUCUUCUAUUACCGUGGCGACACGCUGAUGGCGGCCACCCUCGGGCAGCACAAGGCUCACUUCUGGACCUGGACCAACUCCUGGGAGAACUUCAGACAGGGCAUUGAUUUCUGCCCUGGGCAGAACGUUUCCGGGGUCACAACUCACAAUCUGGAAGACCACACGAAGCUGCCCCUGAUCUUCCACCUGGGACGGGACCCAGGGGAGAGGUUUCCCCUCAGCUUUGCCAGCGCCGAGUACCAGGAGGCCCUCAGCAGGAUCACCUCGGUUGUCCAGCAGCACCAGGAGGCCUUGGUCCCCGGGCAGCCCCAGCUCAACGUGUGCAACUGGGCAGUCAUGAACUGGGCACCUCCGGGCUGUGAAAAGUUAGGGAAGUGUCUGACACCUCCAGAAUCCAUUCCCAAGAAGUGCCUCUGGUCCCACUAGCGCCUGCGCAGACCCAGGCCAGGCCUGGAAUCUCGGUUGGCCCUGCAAGUGCCUGGAGGAAGGAUGGCUCUGGCCUCGGUCCUCCCCCAACCCUGCCCAAGCCAGACAGACAGCACCUGCAGACGCAGGGGGACUGCACAAUUCCACCUGCCCAGGACCUGACCCUGGCGUGUGCUUGGCCCUCCUCCUCGCCCACGGCGCCUCAGAUUUCAGGACCCUCCUCCUCGCCCACGGCGCCUCAGACCUCAGGACCCUGCCGUCUCACGCCUUUGUGAACCCCAAAUAUCUGAGACCGGUCUCAGUUUAUUUUGCCAAGGUUAAGGAUGCACCUGUGACAGCCUCAGGAGGUCCUGAUAACAGGUGCCCCAGGUGGCUGGGGAUACAGUUUGCCUUUAUACAUCUUAGGGAGACACAAGAUCAGUAUGUGUAUGGCGUACAUUGGUUCAGUCAGCCUUCCACUGAAUACACGAUUGAGUCUGGCCCAGUGAAUCUGCAUUUUUAUGUAAACAGUAAGGGAAGGGGGCAAUCACAUAAACGUUUGUCUCAGGGGAGCCCCAGAGGGAUGACUUCCAGUUCCAUCUGUCCUUUGUCCACAAGGAAUUUCCCUGGGCGCUAAUUAUGAGGGAGGCGUGUAGCUUCUUAUCAUUGUAGCUAUGUUAUUUAGAAAUAAAACGGGAGGCAGGUUUGCCUAAUUCCCAGCUUG